rnacentral:rRNA from 1 species
UGGGGAAUAUUGCACAAUGGGCGAAAGCCUGAUGCAGCAACGCCGCGUGAGGGACGACGGCCUUCGGGUUGUAAACCUCUUUUAGCAAGGAAGAAGCGAAAGUGACGGUACUUGCAGAAAAAGCGCCGGCUAACUACGUGCCAGCAGCCGCGGUAAUACGUAGGGCGCAAGCGUUAUCCGGAAUUAUUGGGCGUAAAGAGCUCGUAGGCGGUUUGUCGCGUCUGCUGUGAAAACCCGAGGCUCAACCUCGGGCCUGCAGUGGGUACGGGCAGACUAGAGUGCGGUAGGGGAGAUUGGAACUCCUGGUGUAGCGGUGGAAUGCGCAGAUAUCAGGAAGAACACCGACGGCGAAGGCAGAUCUCUGGGCCGUAACUGACGCUGAGGAGCGAAAGGGUGGGAGCAAACAGGCUUAGAUACCCUGGUAGUCCACCCCGUAAACGUUGGGAACUAGUUGUGGGGUCCAUUCCACGGAUUCCGUGACGCAGCUAACGCAUUAAGUUCCCCGCCUGGGGAGUACGGCCGCAAGGCUAAAACUCAAAGGAAUUGACGGGGUCAUAGCUG